rnacentral:rRNA from 1 species
GACGAACGCUGGCGGCGUGCUUAACACAUGCAAGUCGAACGGAGUGGCGAACGGGUGAGUAACACGUGGGUGACCUGCCCGGCACUUCGGGAUAAGCCUGGGAAACUGGGUCUAAUACCGGCUAGUGUGGGAUGGGCGCGCGGCCUAUCAGCUUGUUGGUGGGGUAAUGGAGUACCAAGGCGGCGACGGGUAGCCGGCCUGGGAGGGUGGACGGCCCCAUUGGGACGGAGGAACGGCCCGGACGGAGACGGGAGGAAGCAGAGGGGGAUAUUGCACAAUGGGCGGAAUGAGGAAUCAGCGACGCCGGGUGGGGGAUGUCGGCCUUCGGGUUGGAAACUCCUUUCACCGUCGAGGCGGUAGAUGGAGAAGAAGCAACGGCUAACUACGUGCCAGCAGCCGCGGUAAUUC